rnacentral:lncRNA from 1 species
GGGAGAAGGUGGUGAGUGUGGGGGAGGGGGCUCUGAGUUCACUGAUUGUCCCAUACUAACCCCCACCCUGUCCCCUCUUCCCCCACAGAAGAUGGAGGUAAACAAGAGAGCAGCAGAAGACACCAGGAGGGACUACGAACAAUUUGUGCAGGAGCUGGACCGUGACCACCAGAGUAUGAGGAGCUGUCUGAGGGUGAAGCCGCUGGAGAUGCAGAAACGCCUGGAGGGGAAACAUCAGGAGCUGCUAGAGCGCUGCCGGGGGGAGCUGCUGGGCGAGGACCCCCAGAAACAGGAGGCCCUGGAGGAGCUGCAGCAGGGGCUGCCCAGUCAGAUGGACGAGUUCCUGCUAGUCUACAAGCAGCGCUUUAAAAAGAUGGAGGUAAACAAGAGAGCAGCAGAAGACACCAGGAGGGACUACGAACAAUUUGUGCAGG